GUUUGAUGGUGAAACUGACAUACAAUCAACCCACAGAACAGGAGCUUGAGUGAGAGUUCGCACUUAAACUCCUGUGUUCAUGUCACCACUGCAAACCUGGUUUACUUGAGGGUCAUGUGCGAAGAACCAACACAACCUACCGCCUUUAGGUGAGCAUCUGCACCCAGUGGAUGUCUGCUUUUCAUUUAUGUAUGCAUGCAUAUCAGACAGACUUUAGACACAGUAAAUGUUCAGGAAUAUGCAGAAAAAAUCCCAUUAGGGUUAGCAUUAAAGGUGCUAACCCAAACAAUAUCACAGAGAAAGAUUUAAGGAUGGAUCAGAGCAUAAUACAGAUUCAUGAGGAUUGUUCAGACUGAAAAGUUUUGUGCUGCUGCUCCGAGGAAUAGAUGUAAGUUAUUCAAUCACCUUCAAUGGAAGUGAGAAAAAAAAAAAGCUAAUUCACUUCUUCUUCUUUCUCUUUAAAGCAGAUAAAAUGAGUCAAGGUUUCUAUAAAGUCAGCCAGCGAGGAGUCAUUUCUACUCUCCAGUCGCUGAGAUUUAAAGCACACCGACCUCAAACAUCCCAGGAACGGAGUGAACGGAGUGAACAGAGUGA